GCCGGUUUAUUGUUGCGACUGCCCGCACAAGUGAGUUCCUGCUCGACCUCUGAAAUGGGAGGCAGAGAAUCUGGUUCUUGUAGGGGUCCCCGUCGGGAAGACUUGCAGAGGUGGUAGCAAUGCUCUCGAGCACCCAGGUGGCGGCAGCGGAAGGUGACCACGCGGACCUGCGGUGCCGUGUGGCGGUGGAGGAGCUGAGCCCAGGAGGGCAGCCACGGAAACGCCAGACCUUACGCACCGCGGAGCUGAGCCUGGGUCGAAACGAGCGCCGUGAGUUGAUGCUGCGGCUGCAGGCUCCGGGGCCAGCCGGGCAACCGCGCUGCUUCCCCCUGCGCGCCGCGCGUCUCUUCACACGGUUCGCCGCAGCGGGGCGCAGUACGUUGAGGCUCCCAGCAGACGCCGUUCCCCGGGCGGGCGCCGUGCAGCUGCUGCUCUCCGACUGCCCCCCGGACCGCCUGCGGCGUUUCUUGCGCACACUGCGUCUGAAGCUGGCUGCGGACCCGGGUCCCGGGCCUGCCUCUGCCCUCGCGAAGCUGCUCAGCCCUCGACCCCGCGACUUCGUCACCAUCAGCCCAGUGCAGCCGGAGGAGCUGCGGCGUGUGGCAGCAACGCGGGUUCUAGACACCACGCUGGCCAAGCAGCCGAUGGAACCCGGGACUGGAGCCAAGCCCAGCAUGGAAGCCCCAAGGUGGCCUCUACCUGUGAAGAGGCUGAGCUUGCUCCCCACCAAGACACAGCUUUCUGAGGAACAGGCUGCAGUGCUGAGGGUUGUCCUAAAAGGCCAGAGCAUUUUCUUCACUGGGAGCGCAGGGACUGGGAAGUCAUAUCUGCUGAAGCGGAUCCUGGGCUCACUGCCCCCCACAGGCACAGUGGCCACUGCUAGCACUGGGGUGGCAGCCUGUCACAUUGGGGGCACUACCCUCCAUGCUUUUGCAGGCAUCGGCUCAGGCAAGGCUCCCCUGGCCCAGUGUGUGGCUCUGGCACAGCGGCCAGGCGUGCGGCAGGCCUGGCUGAACUGCCAGAGGCUGAUCAUUGACGAGAUCUCCAUGGUGGAGGCAGACUUGUUUGAUAAGCUGGAGGCUGUGGCCAGAGCUGUCCGCCAGCAGAACAAGCCAUUUGGAGGGAUCCAGCUCAUUAUCUGUGGGGACUUCCUGCAGCUGCCACCAGUGACCAAGGGCUCCCAACCCCCUCAGUUCUGCUUCCAGGCCAAGAGCUGGAAGAGGUGUGUGCCAGUGACCCUGGAGCUCACUGAAGUGUGGAGGCAGGCGGACAAGACCUUCAUCUCUCUGUUGCAGGCUGUGAGGCUAGGCAGGUGCUCUGAUGAGGUGACCCGCCAGCUCAGGGCCACAGCUGCCCACAAGGUAGGGCGAGACGGAAUUGUGGCCACAAGGCUCUGCACCCACCAGGAUGACGUGGCCCUCACCAAUGAGAAACGGCUGCAGGAGCUGCCAGGUGAGGUACAUAGCUUUGAGGCUAUGGAUAGCAACCCUGAGUUAGCCAGGACCCUGGAUGCCCAGUGUCCUGUUGGCCAGCUUCUUCAGCUAAAGCUGGGGGCCCAGGUGAUGCUGGUGAAGAAUUUAGCUGUGUCCAGGGGCCUGGUGAACGGAGCCCGAGGUGUAGUAGUCGGGUUCGAGACUGAAGGGAGAGGGCUGCCCCGAGUGCGCUUCCUGUGUGGAGUCACUGAGGUCAUCCAUGCUGACCGUUGGACAGUUCAGGCCACUGGGGGCCAACUCCUCAGUCGCCAGCAGCUGCCCCUCCAGCUGGCCUGGGCGAUAUCCAUCCACAAGAGCCAGGGCAUGUCUCUAGAUUGUGUGGAGAUCUCUCUGGGACGCGUGUUUGCCAGCGGUCAAGCCUAUGUGGCCCUUUCCCGGGCCCGCAGCCUACAGGGUCUGCGUGUACUAGACUUUGACCCCAUGGUGGUUCACUGUGACCCCCGUGUGCUGCACUACUAUGCCACCCUGCGGCGUGGCAGAGACCUCCAUCUGGAGUCUCCAAAUGAUGAAGAUGCAGCCUCGGACCAGGAGAACAUGGACCCAAACCUCUGAGCCUCUGCUGUAAAAAGAAGACAAAGAAUGAUCUCCACAACUUGCAGCUCCCUAGUGGACCAAGGCCCCAAGGAAUAACUGGUGGAGGAGACCAGUGUUCCUCUGUCCCUUCUUGGGAGUUCUCAGACUCCUUGCAGGACUAAAGGAAGAGUGCCUCCCACUCACUUACCAGCUGUGCCACAAUUUCUCCUGUUUGUCCUGGAUGGUAUCAAAUGGCAGAAGCAUACAUGAUCAUAUGGCAUGUGAAACAAGAAGCAAGAGAUGGGCCAGGUGAGGUGAGCACCUAUAAUCUCAGCGACUCAGGAGGCUGACCUAGCACCCGGAUUGUGUGGAGAUCUCUGGGCCGUGUGUUUGCCAGUAGUCAAGCCUGAGUCAUGUUUCCCAGGCCUACAGGAUGAUCGCAAAUUGGAGGCCAGCUUCAGCAACUUAGCAACACCCCGACUCAAAAGAUAAAAAAAAAAAAAAGGACUGAAGGUAUGGCUCAAUGGUAAAGCACUCCUGGGUUCAACCCCAGUACCAAAAAAUUAAAAAAGAAGAUGAAGCCAGAAAUGGGGAAGGGUCUGGCUUGCUCUUUUCAUAACAACUGCUCUGGACAGAACUAAUCCCCUCCUUCCACACCUGAUACUUCUGUAGGACAGCAUUAAUCUACUGUGUGAGGAUAGCGCCCCCAUGACUUAAUUACCUUCUGUUGGACCUCACAACUUAAAGAUUUAAAGGUUACAUCACCUCAGUACCACCACACUGGAGACCAAACUUCCAGUAUAUAAACCUGGAGAGAACCUGGAGGAGACUCACACCAGGUACAGGACCAAGAGAGAAAACAAACCUGAGUUAUCCCACAGCUGAGGUCAGCCUAGCACAACCCAGAGCAAACAACCUUCUGAGCCUAACCUGAGAACAUAUGCUGCAAACGUGUGCCCAUGUUUUAUAUAUUAUGUACAUGGGCACACAUGUUUAUAUGUAUAUAUAUGUGUAUAUACAUAUAUUAAUUUUAGUUGUAGAUGGAUAUUGUAGUUACAAUUUUAUUUAUUUUUAUUUUUAUGUGGUGCUGAAAAUUGAACCCAGUACCUCAUGUGGUAGGCAAGCACUCUACCACUGAGCCAAACCCCAGCCUCCUGUGUGCCCAUAUCUUAAGCUGCUUUUUUUGGGGGUGGGGGAAUAGUGUUCUGGGGCACUGAAAUGAUUGUUCCCAGGUUGUAUUUAUUUAGGACAAAUAAACCUGUGAUUGUGUAAGCUCUGCA